AAAAAGAUUUAUCUAUGAUUUUAUUCUAUAACCUCUUUCUCGCUCAAACAAAAUAGAACUAGAGCAAGAAACUCAUCCAAAUGAGAAUUAUAAAAAAGUUAAUAAACGUUGUAUUUUAGUUAUCAUAAGGUUUUAUACACUAUGAUGGAUGAUGAGUUGUUUCAUUUUCAAUUGAGGAACUUGGCAUUUUCAUUGUUGCAGCAAUGGCACAAUGAUGCAAAUCAGCCAAGGAAAAGAAAUUCCUCUGCAAAGGAGAUGCUAAAGAAGACACUCUAUUUCCCGGAUGACGCGGCGGAAGUGGUGAUGAAGGUGCUGAAGAAUAUGAGGUUGAAGUAGCUGAAUCAUCACUUGUAAAACUAGAGCUGCUAUCAGAAUUGCUUAAUGCAACUGCAAGAGCUAAAGCACUUCUACUUAAGCUCAUUGUUCUCUUUGAAAUGCCACCACUAUUGCUUCUCAAAGGGAAAUUUUUGUUCUUGUCCCAACCAUGAUUGAAAGCCAGCAAAUUUCUACGUCUUCUUGUGUAUGCAUUCUCUGGUUUUACAAUGUCUUUUACAGAUGGUGUUGUCACAACAUCAGCUAGGCUUGUGAAGGACUUAGACUUCCCACUGUAGAAAUUUGAGAUACUUCUCCUGCAUAACCAUAAAAGAUUGAAAUAGCCUUCAUUAUUUAGAAGAUUAAUUUGUCAAAACUGAUUUUGAAAUGAAGUGUACAAUGUUUGAAAGUUUUUAUUCGAUAGUAAAUUUUGAUAUAAAUCUGCACAAUUUGGAAUGAAGUUUGAAUCAACUUUCAUUCGUGCAUAUUUUGGAUUAACGGUGAGUUUAGCAGCCCCAAAACUACACAAUCACUAUGCCGCCAUGAUUUUGUCAAACUCACGGCGAUUACAAACAAGGCAAAAAUGAAUUUGCUAAAUGUCCUCAACCAAAACCAAAAAAAAGGCCAUAUUCAGUUUUAGUAUUCAAUUCAAUUCUAAAGUUUAUUCAGUACCAAUUGCAAACAUGUACUUUAAUACAAAACCAAAUUUUCUUCUAUCAAAAUCCAAGAGUAUGAUUGAAGCUUACAAAAGGUUUAUCCAAAACAUAAUGAAUUCAUUGGUUGAACCUAUAUCAAAUCAACACAAAAACUUACUAUAUUUAGCAAAAACCCACUCGGUACAAUAUAAACCUAAUUUUGUGAAACCAAGGGAAUACAAAUACAGACAAAACCUAUAGAUCACAUCAUCCUACACUACUGGAUAGACAUGCCUUACAAUACAAUCACCAAAUUUCAUUUCUCAAACUUUUAAUUUCAUCAAAUUGAUCCAACAAUAGUACCCUAAUUAGUUUAACUAAUACCCCACAAAAAUUCAUUUCUCAAACUUUUCAUUUCAUCAAAUUGAUUCAACAAUCAGUACCCUAACUAAUUUAACUAAUAUAACUAAUACCCAAAAAAAAGCAACCUUUACAAUUUAACAACCCUGCUUAAAACAUUAAAAAAAAAAACUAAAUAUCAAAACACAAUCAACAAGCAAACAAAUUAUAUUAAUUGAAACUAAGAUAAAAACUUAAAAUCAUUUCAGUAAAAUAAAACAUUCAAAAGUGAAGGAUCUAACAUCAAAUUCACAAGGUAUAUGAUAUAAUCUAACAAAACAAUAAAAAAAUAAAAAUAUAAUGGAAAAAAUGUUAAUAAUGAAUGGUUACCUAAUAGGAAGAACCUCUUCUAAAGCUUCCAUACAAUCUAAAGCACCACCAUUAUAUUUACUCUCAGCUUCAUUCUCAUCCAUUGAUCUUUCCGAUGAAACCUCAUCAUCAUCAUCAUCAUCACUAUUUCUUCCGAUCGAUGAAGACGACGUCGUACUACACACCUUCCCUUGAUCAUCAUCAUGAUCCCUUGGCGCGUCAAAUAACACGGAAGUACGUGAUCCCACGCGCUUAAACGCCACCGUUUCAAGCUCCAUAAUCAACAACA
rnacentral:lncRNA from 1 species